ACGACGGGAUAGCGGGGGCGAUUUCGGGCUGCGAUCGACGGCGUUUCGUGCCUUGUUUUGUCUGUGAAUUAGUUUUUUGUUUUAAUCCGCUUGUGUGAAGGUGUUAUAUCGAAGUUUCAAAACAUGCGCCGUUGGACGCUGCCAGAAGAGCGGCUCCUGGGAGGACGGCCAGCGGCCAACGUGGCUGCAGCGACAGUGGAAUUGACCUUCGGGCAAGCGGAGGACGCAUCGGACGGGGAUCCAGUCGUCACCUCCCCUGGCCAAGGGAUCGCGCCCCUCCUAACACCAACGACACGUCGACCAUCGCCGAAGACAUGCCGUUUCUGGGGGAGGGUGACGCUGAUAGCAUCAUCACGGAAGUGAUUGAUCGACCCACGUCACUGGAGUCGCUCCCAAUUGCUUUCGUUCCAUCGCGGCGUCGGGGUUCAUCCACUGCACCCAUUUCCCGUUCUUCCAUAUCUCUGCCCCCAUCCCACCCCGGCAUUUCCACAUCCCGGGCUCCAUCUCACCGCGGCCCGUCCACACCACAUCCCGGCUCGUCCACGGCCCACCCAAAUCAACCAACACCUCAGCCCACGCCCCAUCCUGGCCCAUCAGCGCCUCAUCCCGGUCCAUUCACGCCUCGCCCCGGCCCAUCCACGUUUCGUCCCGGCCCAUCCGAGCCUCAUCCCGGUCCAUACGCAUCUCAUCCCAUUUCAUCAACUGAUCCGGCUCCUUCAUUAUCCUCAUCCUCUGACUCUGGUCGCUCCUCUGAGCCAACGGGCACCCAGCCCCGCCAGUGCCACCGGACAAGACUUCAAACGCCUGUGAGCCCCUCCAGUCUGCUGGGCUGCGACGAUGGUUUGAGUGGCAUCCCCCGGGCCACUCAACAGCGUCAAGCCCGUCGCCGAGCCGCGUACUCCCAUCGUGAUAGGCUGGUGGCCUCCUUGGAAGCAUUGGAACGGGGCGAACGGCAAGCCGCGAGGAGGGAGGAGGCACGCGACGCCAGGGAUGUUACUUUUAAGGAGGCCCUGCUUGAGGAGAUGCGGGCAGACCAGGCAUUGUUGGGGGAGGCCGUGUGCGCCAUCCAGGCUGUCGCCGCCACUUUCCGCCGGCCAGAGCACGAGCGCCGCCGUGGCCGGUCGCGCUCCCGCUCGCCACGCUGAGGCGUCAUUUUGGUAU